rnacentral:rRNA from 1 species
CUUCCUACCCUUGCAUGUACGGAUCCUGCUGAGGGUGGGAGUCUCGAAAGAUACCGUAACACAGGUGCUGCAUGGUGUCKUCAGUCGUGUCGUGAGAUGUUGGGUUAAGUCCCGCAACGAGCCAACCCUUGUCUUAGUUGCUACCAGAGCACUCUAGGGAGACUGCCGGUGACAAACCGGAAGGUGGGCAUGACGUCAAGUCCUCAUGGCCCUUAUGGGUAGGGCUUCACACGUUAUACAAUGGUCGGUACAGAGGGCUGCCAAACCGCGAGGGGCUAACCCCAGAAAACCGAUCGUAGUCCGGAUCGCAGUCUGCAACUCGACUGCGUGAAGCUUUAAUCCCUAGUAAUCCUUUUUCAACAUGUCGAGUGAAUACGUUCCCGUCUUGUACACACCGCCCUACAAUGGGAGCCGGUUUUGCCAGAGAGGGCCUAACCAUAAGGAGGGCGCUUACCACGCAGAUUCAUGACUGGGAAGAAGUCGAACAUGUACCUAG